rnacentral:tRNA from 1 species
GGCUCAGUGGUCUAGUGGUAUGAUUCCUGCUUCGGGUCGCGCCCUUCCAUCUAUAUAAUAUGGGAAUGCAGGAGGCCCCGGGUUCGAAUCCCGGCUGAGCCC